rnacentral:lncRNA from 1 species
UUUAACGAGAGCUUUGCUGAUAAACAUUGAAUUAUGAAAUGAACAUCAAAAAGUGUUGAUAGAAAAUAUGUGUUUCAUUUACCCGACACAUUCCCAGAGACUCAAAGUAUCCUGAGAUCAAGAUGUUGUCCAGAUCAAGAUGGUGACAAGGACCUCCACCUCAUGAGACACACUGCAGUACCAGCAGCUGCUGCUAGUGACGAUGAGGAAGAAGAGGAUUAGGAGAAUAAUGGAGUUACUAAUCACAGCAAAAUUAACAAACGAGAAUAAAAAAUUAGUAUAAAAUUAUUCUAAAAGUAUUGAGACACUGCGUUCAAUAUUCAAUGGAAUGACAUCAAGUUACAACAAACUAAGGAAACAACUGGAAACAAAAAUGCACGAAAUCGAAGAGGAGAAAGGAGGAGAGAGAGGAGGAGGAGGAGCUGAAGAUUUGAACUUAUUGAAUGCUAAACUUGAAGCAGAUAAAGCUAAGCUUGAGCAUAAAGUGA